rnacentral:rRNA from 1 species
CCUACGGGUGGCAGCAGUGGGGAAUAUUGGACAAUGGGGGGAACCCUGAUCCAGCCAUGCCGCGUGUGUGAAGAAGGCCCUCGGGUUGUAAAGCACUUUCAGUGAGGAAGAACCCCUGGUGGUUAAUACCCAUCAGGAAAGACAUCACUCACAGAAGAAGCACCGGCUAACUCCGUGCCAGCAGCCGCGGUAAUACGGAGGGUGCGAGCGUUAAUCGGAAUUACUGGGCGUAAAGCGCGCGUAGGUGGCUUGAUAAGCCGGUUGUGAAAGCCCCGGGCUCAACCUGGGAACGGCAUCCGGAACUGUCAAGCUAGAGUGCAGGAGAGGAAGGUAGAAUUCCCGGUGUAGCGGUGAAAUGCGUAGAGAUCGGGAGGAAUACCAGUGGCGAAGGCGGCCUUCUGGACUGACACUGACACUGAGGUGCGAAAGCGUGGGUAGCAAACAGGAUUAGAUACCCUAGUAGUC